UACUCUUGGUCAGUAACAUAGUAUACCACUUCAAAAGCUUACUAACCUGUUAGUGUAUAGUGCUGUAAUAGAGUCACUGGUGUUGGAAGAGGUUGUCUGCGUAAAACCAGUGAUCUAUGUAGUACUUAAAUAUGUUAUAGCAAAAUUAUUCAGAAACUAAUUUAAUUAGUUAUUAUAAAAUAAAAAAAAAACACCAAAUUUAUCAAAGAAAAAAUUUAAAUAUUCAAUUUUUGAUAUAUUUAAAUCGUUUUUUUGAAACAAAUUUAUAACUUACAUAGAAAACACUAGAACCUUUCAAAAAUAAUAUGUAAAUGCUAGAUUUUAUGAAUCUUGGUAAUGAC